rnacentral:tRNA from 1 species
GGAGAGUACAGCUCAGUGGUAGAGUGCGUGUUCGGUAUGCAUGAGGUCCAGGGUUCAAUGCCCAGUACCUCCA